rnacentral:misc_RNA from 1 species
AACUUUUAGCAAUGGAUCUCUUGGCUCUCGCAUCGAUGAGGAAUGCAGCGAAAUGCGAUAAGUAAUGUGAAUUGCAGAAUUCAGUGAAUCAUCAAAUCUUUGAACGCACCUUGCACCCUUUGGUAUUCCGAAGGGUAUGCUCGUUUGAGUGUCAUUGUACUCUCACACUCUCUGAUCCUUUGGAUUCAGGGAGUGGUGGACUUGGAUGUUUGCUGCUUUCCUAGUGGCUCACCUCAAAUGCGUCAGUGCACCUCUUGGUUGGACAUAGUACGGCGUGAUAAGUAUCUUCGCCGGCACCUCACGAGAGGGUGGCUGAUCGGGAGCUCUGUGCUUUCAAACCGUCUUCGGACAAUACAUGACAAUUUGACCUCAAAUCAGGUAGGACUACCCGCUGAACUUAAGCAUAUCAAUAAGCGGAGGCU